rnacentral:misc_RNA from 1 species
GAUGAAGAACGUAGCGAAAUGCGAUAAGUAAUGUGAAUUGCAGAAUUCAGUGAAUCAUCGAAUCUUUGAACGCACAUUGCGCCCGGUAGUAUUCUGCCGGGCAUGCCUGUUCGUGCGUCAUUUCAACCAUCAAGCCCCAGCGCUUGUGUUGGGGGCCUGCGGCUGCCGCAGCCCCCCAAAAGCAGUGGCGGGCUCGCUAUCACACCGAGUGCAGUAGUUCAUCUUCUCUCCGGUCUUGUGAGGCGGGUUCCGGCCGUGAAACACCCCACUACAUUCAAGGUUGACCUCGGAUCAGGUAGGAAUACCCGCUGAACUUAAGCAUAUCAAUAAGCGGAGGA